CUAGCGACUUCAGAGUUUGAUCCUGGCUCAGGAUGAACGCUGGCGGCGUGCUUAACACAUGCAAGUCGAACGGAGUUUAUGUGAUAGAGGUUUCGGCCAAUUGAUCAUAAACUUAGUGGCGGACGGGUGAGUAACGCGUGAGGAAUCUGCCUUGGAGUGGGGAAUAACACAGUGAAAAUUGUGCUAAUACCGCAUAAUGCAAUUGGGUCGCAUGGCUCUGAUUGCCAAAGAUUUAUCGCUCUGAGAUGACCUCGCGUCUGAUUAGGUAGUUGGUGAGGUAACGGCUCACCAAGCCGACGAUCAGUAGCCGGACUGAGAGGUUGGCCGGCCACAUUGGGACUGAGACACGGCCCAG
rnacentral:rRNA from 1 species